rnacentral:lncRNA from 1 species
AGAGAGCUUGAGAAGCCCUGCAAAUGGAUGGGCAAAUUGGAGACCUGAGAUGACACACUAAGGCGCAAGGCAGCUGCACAUCCACGGCCAGCCUCGUUGUCUUCAGGGAUUUGUUCAAAGUUCAUUCUGAAUUGUAAGGUAACCACUGCAGAACACGAGCCUUUCCUGGGUAUGUGUGGUUAUUUCUGCCCUUCACGGUCCCACUCAAGUCCUGCCUCCCUCAGGGAGACCUCCCAGACCUCACCAAGCCGUGGGCACGUGGACCAGAAGCCGUGGACCCCAGAGGCUCAUUUAGGGAUCUGCUUUCUGAACCCAGGUCCUAACAUCUGCACUGCAGCGAGCAUUUCUGGUGCCUCAAGUGAGUCACUCCAACUUCCAGGUCAGUGCCCGGCACACGAGGGGUGCUUUUAUUAGAGGUAUUAGGUGAGGCCUCCCUGCAGGCAGUCCACACCCUCAGCUCCCAGAUUUCCACCAGGGUCACCCAGUGGGAAAGGGCAGCUGCCUCUGCAUCCCCAUGAGCCCAGCUCGCCCUCUCUAAGGGACAGGGACCACCAGCCUCACAGUGGUGGGUGGCAACACCUGGUCAUUUUCUGUCAUUCUCCUGUCAUGAUCAGCUCACUGAGAGGCGAUGGAGCACUGAGUGCCAGCAUCUUCCAGCACCAGAGGAGCUGACUCUGAAUAGACAGCUCGGCAGCGGCCUCAGCACAGAGCAGGGGAGCCACCAGCCACAGGCAGCCACUGAGCCCUUGGCAUGUAACCCGGUAACCCAUGCAACAGAAGACCUGAGCGUCCAGUGUUGCUAGCUUGAAGUAACUUCAGUGGUGUUCCCCAGCGUUUUUCUCAUCCCCCUCCCUUCCCUUCCCCUACAGCUUUCUUCCUCUUUCCCCUCCUUCUGAGUCUUUCGUCCCCAGUCCUGGGAACCUUUUUUCUGACUUGGUGUUUUCUCCUGAAUGCCUCCUUCCUGGCCCCCUAAUCAGAAAUGCAGAAGCCACCUGCCCCACACAGGGGGCCACUUUCCCUGCAUCUGGCACUCACCAGGACAGUCAUAGAACUGGCCUUGGGUGCUUGGGGAGAGUGGAGAGGUCUGGGGGGCAUCCACUGGCCUCAGCCUCAGAGCUUCUCAUCAGUAACCCAGGAGGCAAAGGCCCAGCUCAAGAUUAGCCCAGGCCACUGUAUCUGUGCCAAGACCUACAGCUGUCCCUGCAGGGCGUGCAUCUCUGCAGCCCAGGCUAUCACAAUGGUGUCCCUUUUGGUGGGGAUGUGAGGCCUGCUGCUGCCUGGGAAGAAGCUGACAGGAUUGUUGGUGCUGUGGGGAGAAGCUGGUGUAACUGAGACCCAUGAGGGAGGCCCUUUGUGGGUCUGUGGCUGGGAGGAGCUCUGGGGAAGAUGGGCCUUGAGAAAUCCCAGCUUAGCACCUUUGACAGUUGCUCCACUGAGUCACCCUAGACUGCAAUCUCACAGAUGUUCUAACCACCCUCUCCCUGGGGAGCCCUUGGGGGUGCUGCAAGCCCAGUCCUCACUCACUGGCUUUGUGCUUCUCUUCCCGACUUCCUUUUUUUGCUCCUGUUGAGAAAUGUGGGUCCAGGGCUGCGUGCUCCAGUGUGCGGAAGGAAGGGCAGCGUGCUCUUUGGACUGAGCUGGCUCAAGGGAAGCUGGGUCUGAGGGGAGACUGACCUCGACCCUUCUUAAAUGAAACACCUUUUCCCUGCGUCUCAGUCACCGUUACCUGGCCUGAUCACUGUGUGCCACACCCCAUCACAUCCAUCCCCACAAGAAUGCCAGGAGGAGGGGUCAUUGGCCUUUUUGUCAGCACAAACCUCUGGAGGCCCAGCUCCCAAGACCCGCCAGGCACACCUGCCAGAGUGCCUUAACUUGGGAUGUCUGCAAACCUCUGUCCAUGGCCGAACCCACCCCACUGCCUGUUACUGUAAAUAAAGGUCUAUUAGCAUGCCACCAUGCCCCUCCUCCGAUGCAUACAGUGCCCAGCUCAGCACCUGGUGCAAGUAAGCACAAUCUGGCUUCCAGCCAUCACUGCUGUUGCUACUAACACAAAUAUUAGGCCCCUUCUAGAAUGCAAAGAUAACCCAGGGCUGCUCGUUCUGUGUCCAGAUCACAGAGUUUUUCUUUUUAUCCUUAUCAACUUUAUUGAGGGAUAAUUUACAGGCAAUAAAUCAUAUCCAUUUAAAGUUAUUGUCAAGCUUUUAAAGAAUUAAAGUUCGUCUUCUUCAGAAGCUUACCGAGGACUACAGGCUGUGGCGUAGAGCCCUGGAGCAGCCUCCACUGAGGUUCUGUAUUUCAGGUCACAGUUGACAUAUAGGUGGGAGGUCCAGUACGUGCAAAGUCACAUGAAAGCUUGGGUGUCAGAGUGCAUCAGGUUAUGGAUUCAAUUACAGAGCAAUAAUCACUGACCCUGUCAGAUGUUAUCUUACGUGUAGGAAAAGGUAAGACCAGGGCCAUUUAUCUGCAAAGAAUAUAGUGACUCAGGCAAGAGUCCGGAGAGGGUGUGUGCUCCAUCCUGUUUUGUCUUCAGAGCAUCUUUCUGGGGAGCUGCACAUCGUUAUAGAGACAGGCACUUUGUGAAAUUCUGCUGCCAAGCACAAAUGAGCAAACGUGGUUUCCUAUGUUUACUACUUUGUCUCACAAAGCGCACAUUCACAGUGCAUUAUUAAGGGGCCCUGGCAGCACCGCCACAGUGUAUCUCUGCUCCCUCUUAAAGUUCCCCGUGCCCCUUGGCAGACAGGCCCCUCUCACUCCUGGGCCCAGGCUACCAUUGACCAGCUUUUUGCCACUAGAGGUUAAUUUUCAUUCUAUGUGAUUGGAAUCAUACAGAUGUUCUUGUAUCUGACUUAUUUCACUCCACAUAGUGAUUCUGAGAUUCAAAUGUUGUGUGUAUCAGUUGUUUGUUCCUUUUUAUUCCUGAAUGGGAGAGGGGAUGUCAAGCUGCACAGUUUUAUUCCUGGGCUACAGUGGAGAUGGAUGGUUCUACCGUCUCUCUGAAACACCAUCUGCAGUUUCUUCAAAAUCUACCUACACAUCUUCCAUCCCAUCCUGAGGAGUCCCCGAGGGUUGAGAAAUGCAUGACCCCACACCUGGCUGACGUGUACAACUGGCGGAGUUAGUUUUUCCUGUUGACACUGGCCACGGGCGCCUCAGCAUGCACAGCCCUGGCCUUGCUCCUCUAGGCAUGCUGGGGGCUUGUCCACACGUGUGGUCUACGGAUGGAGGAGAGUGGCCUCUGGCCCAUGCGUGCCAUGCACUGGACCUUCCCAGGGAAUCAAGUUACAUGAUGUUUCCUUGAGGAGCUACAUACAAAGUAAAAAACUGAAAUCAAGAAUAUCAGUCAUUUCUGAAUAUGCCAAUUCGCCCAUGGUGCAGUUUGUACAGCUUAAUCACUGCAGAACAGUUUUGAGGAUAAAAUUAACCAAAAACCUAAGUAGACAAAAUAUUCAAAUUUUUGGAAUCUGUCACAAAAAUCCACAGAUGACUUAUUUUCCAUUGUAGCUUAUAAUGUCCAAAAGCCUUUCUAGUGACUUAUAACUGAUGGUGAGCUCCCACUCUGUGGCAGCUGUGGGACACUGGUCUAAGGACUACACCCUGAUGCCUGGUGAGUUACAGAGGCCAUGAGAAGAUGUCAGUGAACCUGAAAGCCAGGGAGAGGCUGUGUUCCUGCCGGACUGUGGGGCUCCUUCGCUCCCCUGCUGUGGCCCUUGGUCAGGCCACUUUCCCUCUCUGGGUGUCAGUGGCUUCAUCUACGAAGUGAUAAAAAACUAAUGCAAACCAGAGCAAAAUGAGAUAACACGGGGACCCCUAAUGUCCCAGGGAGAUGGUGAACUGAAGCACCGCGUGCGGUGAGUUGUUGCUGUCUCCACCCCUCAAGGAGACCGCAGCUUUGCAGACGUGUGGGUCCCAUCAUCGGCCCCAUUCUACAUUCCUCCCUGUGUCCCUGCCAUCGCCAGGUGACUUUGCUGGGCCCUCCCACCGCCCUAACUCCCAAUCCCAAGAUCUUCAGUGAACGUGACGCGCACAGCAGAGGCCCAGAAUGUAUGUGUGCAUGUGGUGACAGCUAAGCCUGCCUGGAGCAGAGCCCCAACCCUGCAGCAGCUCAAACAAGCUGAGAUCAGCAAAUGCACAUCUGACUCUCAGACAUGGGGGCAAUAAUAAUAAAUGCUGUUUGAGUUUUGGGGUCUUUGGCUACACAGCAAUUGCUCACCAAUAUGACAGGGUUGUAUGACGUGGCCAUGCGGAACUGUAUUAUAGGGGAAGUGGUGAACAGUGUGAUGAGAUUUUAAAGAGGAACAGAUUUACCACUGACUUUAGAAAUCAUGGAGGAGAAAUCUCUGGGGUUGCCCUUGAAGGGUGUGUGGAGGAGGACAUGGGAGAAGGGGGAAGAACCGUGGCAUCCUGGCUAAACAGACACAGGGCAGAGGGAGCCUCUGUGUUGGGACUAAGAUGGGGAUGUCGGGGAAGGGACAUGGCAAGCUGACUGUUGGUG